rnacentral:lncRNA from 1 species
CAUCAGCAAUCCCUGCUGUGCUGUUCCUUCGAGGAGGUAUUCGAAUAUAUAAGUAUUAAUGCUGAAAAAGGCUAUUUAAUAGGAUUCUUCAUCCCUCAAUGGCUGGUUACCUGAUGGAUAUCGUUGCAUUCUUGGCUCCUCGAUUACUCAGCUGCAGUGUGAGUGGAUAAGCUCCGAGACUGAAAGAAAUAGUGAAGUUGUCUAGAAUUAAUUGACAUCCUCCAACAUUAUGAAUAACGAUCAAGAAUAACUAUCUUCAGGGAAUUGUUUCGCAGAAGCUGUACAUGCUUUCCACAAAAGCUUUUGACACAGUCCAGAAUCUUUCCUGAACAGAAUAUUCUUUC